rnacentral:rRNA from 1 species
UACAGAGGUGGCAAGCGUUGUUCGGAAUUACUGGGCGUAAAGGGCGCGUAGGCGGCCUUCUAAGUCAGACGUGAAAGCCCCGGGCUUAACCUGGGAACUGCGUUUGAUACGGCAGGGCUAGAGUUCGGGAGAGGAGAGUGGAAUUCCCAGUGUAGAGGUGAAAUUCGUAGAUAUUGGGAAGAACACCGGUGGCGAAGGCGGCUCUCUGGACCGAUACUGACGCUGAGACGCGAAAGCGUGGGGAGCAAACAGG